rnacentral:rRNA from 1 species
UACGUAGGGUGCGAGCGUUGCCCGGAUUUAUUGGGCGUAAAGGGCGCGUAGGCGGCCACGCACGUCCGUUGUGAAAUCGCUCGGCUCAACUGGGCGGGGUCAGCGGAUACGGUGUGGCUCGAGCAAGCUAGGGGGCAAUGGAAUUCCCGGUGUAGUGGUGGAAUGCGUAGAUAUCGGGAGGAACACCAGUGGCGAAGGCGGUUGCCUGGAGCUUUGCUGACGCUGAUGCGCGAAAGCGUGGGGAGCGAUCCGG